rnacentral:rRNA from 1 species
AUUGAACGCUGGCGGCAGGCCUAACACAUGCAAGUCGAGCGGAUGAAGGGAGCUUGCUCCUGGAUUCAGCGGCGGACGGGUGAGUAAUGCCUAGGAAUCUGCCUGGUAGUGGGGGAUAACGUCCGGAAACGGGCGCUAAUACCGCAUACGUCCUGAGGGAGAAAGUGGGGGAUCUUCGGACCUCACGCUAUCAGAUGAGCCUAGGUCGGAUUAGCUAGUUGGUGGGGUAAAGGCCUACCAAGGCGACGAUCCGUAACUGGUCUGAGAGGAUGAUCAGUCACACUGGAACUGAGACACGGUCCAGACUCCUACGGGAGGCAGCAGUGGGGAAUAUUGGACAAUGGGCGAAAGCCUGAUCCAGCCAUGCCGCGUGUGUGAAGAAGGUCUUCGGAUUGUAAAGCACUUUAAGUUGGGAGGAAGGGCAGUAAGUUAAUACCUUGCUGUUUUGACGUUACCAACAGAAUAAGCACCGGCUAACGUCGUG